UUCAACCCUGGAGAGAAAAAGGCGGCGUGGCCCUCGCCGACGCCUCUGGCCCUGCGCUCUACGGCCGGCUAGCCCGAGGGGGUUGCCGCUUGCCCAGCCAGUCCCGUGCGGGCGGGCCAGCUGCAGCCAAGAGGAGGCAAGCACCUUCCCGCACCUAACACAUUUCGCCCACCUACAAAAUAUACUUUGCACCCCUUUUUUUCCCUGGCGCCGCUCCCGCCUCCUCCUGCUGCAGCCACCCCCCCCCCGGCUAAGGCGCAGGCAGAGAAAAAACCAGCCGGGCUCAGAGGGAGCCGCAGGUGGCCUGAGCCCCCCCACCCACUAGGAAAAACGUCCCCCGGGCCUGGGAAGCUAGUCCCCGCCCCCUUUUCGUGGGGGCCCCCGAGGAGGUCAUGCAGCCGACACGUGGCUGAGGGGGGCGGGGAGCGAGUCCGAGUCUGGCUCGACAGUCGAGGCAGGGGCGGCGGCUCCUCUCUUCCAGGCUCUCCGGCAAGGGCUGACCGCCGACAGCGCCCAGAGAUCCCGCGGCGAGCAGGGCGGAAGGGACAUCUCUGCCAAAAAAAAAAUGCUGAAAUGUAAUUGGGUGGCGGCAACAGCAGCAGCGGCGUGUUCAUCCACCCCCAAACUAAAGCUUCUGAGACAGCCUACUUGAUUCUGUGCACCCUCCCCUCUCCUGAGUUGAAGUAACAAUAAUUCCACCUCCAUCCCUUUCUCUCCCCACAAAAUUUGGACUGAGCCAUCAGUGCAAGCAGCCAGGUACCUUUUCAAUUUAUGUGUGUGCCUAUUAACUGACUUUCUAUUCUGUAAUAAAAUGCAAACUUUGAUUUUUCACCCAAAGUGAAGUCUUUGUUCUCUUGCUGUUUCCUCCUGUUAUACCUUUGCAAGGCAAUGUCCCCCAUGGUGCUCUUGACUCUAGGCCCUGUACAUCUGUGUGUGAAUGUAUAUGCGUAAUGGAGGAUGUGUGUUAACAAUGGAGCAUAAGAGGCGGCACAUCUAGGAGAAAGUGGUCCUUAAGAUACCAAGGUCCCCAAUUGUUUAGAACUUUAAAAGGUCAAAGUCAGCACAUUACUGAGCCCAGAAACAUACAGGCAACCAGAGGAGAUUGAACAACGCUAGAGUAACCUGCUUUGAUGGACCAAUGCCAGCAGCCACCUGGAGGCAGCAUUUUCUACCAGCUGAAAUUUCUCUGAACAUUUUUCAACCUGUUACAGUAGUUUAGCAUGCAACUUUUUUUUUUGUUUCCAUUUGAGUAUAUCUCAGAAUCCAAGCUCUAGAAUACAAUCAUUUCACUCUUGUGUAUUAACCUGCAGGCUACAACUCCUCAUGUAGACAAACAACUCCCAGAGAAUUGACCCACAGUUAAUUCAAGGGUGCCUCCAGACAGUCACUAUUUUGCAGGAGGAAUUCAAGCACGCACCAGAAAUACAAAUUUAGGUUUAUGUUCUAUCACUUAUGAAUAAGAAAUCCACAUGUUUAUAUUUUUGUAAAGUUUUUUCAUUUAGGAAAGUAAUGGGCAAAUACGCUGAAAAGUGUGGGAUGAGUGAAUUAUUAACAGGAAGACACAAACACCCCACAAACAAAUCAGAAUGGAUGCUCAGUAAAAACUUGACAUAGACUAACCUCUGCAUAAGCAUUUGUGCAAGCAAAUAAAGCUGAAAGCUCAAUAACCUAGGUUGUCUGAAGGAAUUCAAGGAGCACUGUUAUCCAGAUUUGGUUUUUAAACUGCUUGCACCUCUCACUUUUACUUGAGACAUCAACAGAACUCAUGUGAAGGAUCAAAUUCUUGCAUUCAUCCCAAGUCUUUAUGAAGACAAAGUUGAUCACAGGGCUGUGCGAUAUUUUAAGGGCAUGCCCACAAUGCUUUAUCUAAUACCUGUGGACAUAACACCAUCAAGAACAGAUCUGCCUAGCCAGCAUAGCAGUGUGUUUCGAAUCAUAUAUUUACUGAACGUCCCAAAUUUGAUUGUCUUAUAGUAAAUUUACUCAUGAGUACUGCGGACUUUGUUGAGUCUUUCAAGCGUUCCCAGCUAGAUGAAUAGGUCGCUGCCACAGCUGUAUUGUUUGUAAACUAAUCUUCUGAUAUUUUAAACUGUUUUUUCUGUCUUUAUUAUAUUAUGUGCAUUGCUUUGGGACUUAUGUGGAAGGAGAUGAAUCAAUAACAGCAGCUGCUAUCUAGGAGGCAUGAAUGCAUUUCCGGGUGAUUGCAAAUGUCUUUCUAAAGUGCACUGUUCUGGUCUAACCUCGUACUACGUUUCUGCAUGAUAUAUUUUUAUCAACUUAUAAUUGUUGUUUACUU